rnacentral:rRNA from 1 species
ACGCUCGACACCUACGGGAGGUAGCAGUGGGGAAUAUUGCACAAUGGGGGAAACCCUGAUGCAGCAACGCCGCGUGAAGGAAGACGGUUUUCGGAUUGUAAACUUCUGUUCUUAGUGAAGAUAGUGACGGUAGCUAAGGAGCAAGCCACGGCUAACUACGUGCCAGCAGCAGCGGUAAUCUGAGCGGGCUGGCAAGGC